rnacentral:tRNA from 6 species
GCCCCCGUAGCUCAGCUGGAUAGAGCAAAGGUUUCCUAAACCUUAGGUCGGCCGUUCGAAUCGGCUCGGGGGUA